GUAGGGAAUAUUGCACAAUGGGCGCAAGCCUGAUGCAGCAACGCCGCGUGCGCGAUGAAGGCCUUAGGGUUGUAAAGCGCUUUUCUGGGGGAAGAGAAAGGACGGUACCCCAGGAAUAAGUCUCGGCUAACUACGUGCCAGCAGCCGCGGUAAAACGUAGGAGGCGAGCGUUAUCCGGAUUUACUGGGCGUAAAGCGCGUGCAGGCGGUUUGGUAAGUCGGACGUGAAAGCUCCCGGCUCAACUGGGAGAGGCCGUUCGAAACUGCCAGACUAGAGGGCAGCAGAGGGAGGUGGAAUUCCGGGUGUAGCGGUGAAAUGCGUAGAUAUCCGGAGGAACACCAGUGGCGAAGGCGGCCUCCUGGACUGUCCCUGACGCUAAGACGCGAAAGCUAGGGUAGCAAACGGG
rnacentral:rRNA from 1 species